rnacentral:rRNA from 1 species
CAGACUCCUACGGGAGGCAGCAGUGGGGAAUAUUGGACAAUGGGCGCAAGCCUGAUCCAGCCAUGCCGCGUGAGUGAUGAAGGCCUUAGGGUUGUAAAGCUCUUUCAGCGGGGAAGAUAAUGACGGUACCCGCAGAAGAAGCCCCGGCUAACUUCGUGCCAGCAGCCGCGGUAAUACGAAGGGGGCUAGCGUUGUUCGGAAUUACUGGGCGUAAAGCGCGCGUAGGCGGCUUUCUAAGUCAGGGGUGAAAUCCUGGGGCUCAACCCCGGAACUGCCUUUGAUACUGCAUCUCUUGAGUCCGGGAGA